ensembl:lncRNA
UGGAACUUGGCUGGAAUCCAAGAUUUAGCUCAAUUCAAAACUACAGGAAGAAAUAAUACAAAUCUGAAGGCAGGGUGUAUGCAGACGGUGAGAAUCAGCACGGGAUGGGGGCCGGCAUGGCAUGUGGGCUACGUGGGAUUCCGAAGCACUCCAGCAGCUGACCAAGGACCAGGACAGGGACUGAUGGAGCUGCAGGAGAGAAGAGUACAGGGCACUUUGAGCAGCAAGUGACAGAAAAUCAACCCACACUAGGUUUAAAACAAGAGUGAUUUGUCUGAAGAACACAGAGGCAGCUCCAAAGACCGUCAGCAGGACCCAGAGCCAUUCUGGGGUCUCAGGGACUGGAACUAGGAAUCCAAACAUUGUCAGCAUAUUUUCUCUCUCUCCCUCCCCCCAUCCCUCCUCUGCUCCACUGAGGCUUCAUUCUCUUAAUAGAAGUGGACAUUCUUUGCCCAGCAGGACAAAGUGGCCUUCAGCAAGAGUUAAAGUCACAUCCUGAAAGAUUUGCAACCAGCGAUGUCUUUUCAUCUCUGAAUCUCAGUUGGAAAGAUCCUAGGGAAUGGCUCAGACUGUCUAGGUUUGACUCUUAUGCUCACCUCUUGGACUAUCACUGUGGUUAGGGAGUGGGCUCUCUGAUGACUGAGCCUGUGUCAUGUUUCCUUCUUUGGUCCAGAGUGAGCAGGUCUGUACCUGUGGUGGCUUAGCCCAGACAUGACCACUGGUACAUUUGUUUGUGUUGGCCAGCCCUUAGGACAGGUCCCUGACAGUCACCACCUUGGUCAUUCCUGGUACCCCACUGAGGAAAAGGUAUAGGCAGUUACCAUAAGAACUCCACCCUGGGGGUAUGUGUGUGACCAGGUGUAGUCAGACUGAGUAGGUUCAAAUGUCUGUUCCACCAAUUACUAGACAAACGAUCUUUCUAUGUUUCAGUUUCCUUGUUUAUAAAAUGAAAAUAAAAAUAGUACCAACUUCAUGAAGUUGUUAAUAAGAUUAAAUGACUUAUUAUACGGAAAGCCCUUAGACCAAGCCUGGAAUAUGAAAAAUUAGCUGUCACUAAUACUAACAAAUAUGUCAGUAGAAUAGAACCAUAAAGACAACUCACUAAAUAAGGCCAUGUUUCAUGCUAUUUUCCGUGCCCUUUACAGACCAUGAGGUCUGUGAAGUUACUUUCCAUUUAUCAUCUUCUGCUCUCUGGAAGCUGUCCAGGCUUCCCAAAAGGUGCUCAGUGGGUCUCUGAAGCUACCCUGUGUCUUUCUGGGGCCUCAACCCCAGAGUGAGUGUCUUUCUCCUUUUAUGAUCCAAAAUAGUUUACUUCUCAAAUAAAUAAACUUUUAUUACAGGGUCUUUGUAAGACCUCGGAGAUAAAGCCUCACUUGAAAGCUCACAAUAGGCAAAGCUAUAUAAGCUUUGCUUGGCUGGCUCAACCUGGUCAGGUCCAUAUUUUUGAGCAACCUCCUUCUACCUGCAACAACGGUUCCUCCCACCUUUGGUGGCUUCAUGUCAAUCGGUUUGCCAUCAGACUCUUUUUUACCCAUCACAGGCUUCUAUUCCUAACAGUGCCUUUCUAAGGCUUGGAUUUACUUUCCCUUCGCUUUUUUAAAAUAAAUCUUUCUCUCUGCUUCAUUACACAAACCUCCAUUUGCUCUUAGUCCAACUCAAUUCAGCCAAUACUGUGUGCACUUCUAUUAAAUACCAAUCACUGUGCUUGGCAUGACUCAUUUUAUUUCCUCUUUCUUUUCUCUG